rnacentral:rRNA from 1 species
ACCCUUGUUUCCUGUUGCCAUCACGUAAUGGUGGGCACUCUGGAGAGACUGCCGGUGACAAACCGGAGGAAGGUGGGGAUGACGUCAAGUCCUCAUGGCCUUUAUGGCCUGGGCUGCACACGUCCUACAAUGGCAUAUACAAAGGGAUGCUACCUCGCGAGAGCAAGCAAAUCCCAAAAAGUAUGCCCCAGUUCGGAUUGCAGGCUGCAACUCGCCUGCAUGAAGCCGGAAUCGCUAGUAAUCGUGGAUCAGCAUGCCACGGUGAAUAUGUUCCUGAGCC